CUACGGGGCGGCAGCAGUGGGGAAUAUUGGACAAUGGGCGCAAGCCUGAUCCAGCAAUGCCGCGUGAGUGAAGACGGCCUUAGGGUUGUAAAACUCUUUCGCUAGGGAAGAUAAUGACUGUACCUAGUAAAGAAGUCCCGGCUAACUCCGUGCCAGCAGCCGCGGUAAUACGGAGGGGACUAGCGUUGUUCGGAAUUACUGGGCGUAAAGAGUUCGUAGGCGGACUGACAAGUUAGAGGUGAAAUCCCAGGGCUCAACCCUGGAACUGCCUUUAAAACUGUCAGUCUAGAGACCGGAAGAGGUUAGGGGAAUACCUAGUGUAGAGGUGAAAUUCGUAGAUAUUAGGUGGAACACCAGUGGCGAAGGCGCCUAACUGGUCCGGUACUGACGCUGAGGAAAGAAAGCGUGGGGAGCAAACAGGAUUAGAUACCCGGGUAGUC
rnacentral:rRNA from 1 species